rnacentral:other from 1 species
UUCAUCCUGAUAUGUACGUCUGUUUAAAGUUAUUUGACCGAACAAUUUUACAUUAGGGAGCUCACGUUUUUAUGGUGCGUGCAGGCCGCAAUCAUAGUGGAAGCACAAUAACUAUAAAAUAGAGCACCCACCUGCUAUUAGCGGGAUCAAAACCAAAACUGACGGCAUUAUCGGGAUGAAU